CUUCCUCUUUGUCUUCGCCAGGAUGGUCCGCUCUGACUUUUUCGUCCUCUCCGCCUUCGCUGUUGUGGUCGCCAUCCUCCCUCGGGAAUGCAGCUGUCUCCCCGUACAGCGCGGCGUUCCCCCCCACUCUCCUUUCGUCCUCUCUGCGCAGCCGCGACGCCGUGCGGCAUGGCGCCUUCCCUAUUCUGUUGCCCGUCUGCCUAUCCCGUCCGAUUUCCGUACAAGCGGGGGUUGCCGUUGUGCUGUCGGCGAUAUGGGCCGCGUCUUUUCCUCAGCCGCACGUGUUCAGCUGUCCAGUCCGGCGUGGCUCCUCCCUGUGAUAUGUGGUCAACAGGCAUUAAUCAAGGUUGCCGCAGCGAACCUCUCGGGAAUUUUGGUCCGCUCAUCUCCUUCUUUCCAUUGUGCUCCUUUGCUUCCUACUCUAUUUAGUACGAUUCCUCUACUUACCACUGCUGGUUCUGACACAUUAAUGUGUGGUGCUACUUUAUUUACUGUGAUUUCCUCUCUUAUGUUUUGCUGUUAGUACAUUUGAGUUGCUAUUUUCAAAGUGAGAUUUUGGGUGUUGAGUGUUCGAUCCUAACUCCCAAUUCAUGUUUUUUUUAUAGAAUGUGUUUCUUCUUUCCCCUCCCAUUUAAUUUUAUGUUUUGUUCUUACUGAUCUCCUUUGACAGAGAGUUAAGCUUAAUUACUUGCCUAUACAUCUCCUAUUUAUUGCUUAUUUUUUACCUAUUUGUUAUUUGCUUCUCCCCCUCUUUGUAUGAUGCUUUUGUUCAGGUGAUUUUCCUUGAUGAGGUCUCAGUGCAGUGAAUGCCUACUUGCUUGCUUCUCUGCCUUCUGUUUGAUGCUUCCUUCGUUGAUAGAGGUGAUGAUGAUUUCCGCAAAAAAAAAAGAAGAAGAAGAAGAAAGGAACAAAUAAAAAAAAAUUGUUGACCCCGUUCUUCUACUAAAUUAGUUACUGAAUUACUUACACCAUUACUCCUCCAGUGCCCUCUAAUUUUUUUAGUUGUUCGUUGCUGAGCAUAAUUUGCAGCUUAGCUAUUUUUCAUGUUGGAGAAAAUGCAUAUAUUACUAUGUGGUUAUCAAUUUUGCCCCCUCACUAUAUUUCUUGCUUAUUUUCUCGCUACUCUCCUACAUUGCUUCAGAUUUUCUACUUACUUUUAUUCUGCUACUAUUUUUUUUACUAAUUAUUUAGUAAUUUUACAAAUUUUUUGUGUAGAUAAUUUUUUGUUCCCCCGAGGGAUAUUAUACAAAUUUUUUACAUGACUGGUUUACUAUGAGGUUAUCAACUUUUCCCCUUUAGAUUUUAUAUAUAUUUUUAUUAUGUUUAUGAUACUAUAUUUUUCCUUUUUUGACUAAUUAUUUAGCUUUUUUACAAAAUUUUCGCCUAGGUGAUUUUUCGUUUCCACGAGGGAUAUUACACAAUUAUUGUGCAUGGCUAGUUAGUUUUGCACAAACUUGGUUCUUUGGAUCCCUAUUCUUCUUUUAUGCUCUACAUGGUAUAAAUUGAUUCAUAGAGGCAAUGGUGGUUUUAACAAAAUGAAAAGAAUUGUUGAUUACUGUUUACUGCUAAUUUAAAUCGGACUUUUAAAAUUUUCAUUGUUUGUUCCUACUUUAUACUGAAUUAAUUUCAAUAUUACAUUGUAGGGUUAUCCUUCUGCUGUGUCUCUCUCCUUAACUACCCAAUUUUUUUUGGUUGCCUCUAUUUCUAUGCUAUUUGUUCCUCCGGUGCCAUCUAAUUUUUUAGAUGCUUUGUUGCUGAGUGUAGUUUGCAACUAAAAUAUUUUUCAUGACAGAGAAAAUGCAUACAUUACUAUGCAGUGGUCAAUCUGAGCCUCUUCCAAAGUCGCCUAAAAAGAUGCUAUGGGUUUUACUUCUUAUUUCUUUUCCGCAAUACUUCCCGUGCUUACUUUCUCGCUACUCUCUUACAUAACUUCUGCCUUCCUAUUAACUUUUAUUUUGCUACUGUAUUUUUCUGCUUCUUUCCCUAAUUGUUCAGUUUUUAUACAGAUUUUCUUCCUCAUUAAUUUUCUAUCUUUGCCGAGGAGUAUUAUGCAAAUUUUUUGCCUAAUUGUUUGGUUUUUCUCAAACUUGGUUCUUUGCAUCCAUGUUCUUCUUUCAUGUUUGCAUUAUAUGAAUUGAUUGAUAAAGACAAUGAUGGUUUCAGCAAAAUAGAAAGCUACACGUUGGGAACAAAAAAGGAAUUGUUGAUUACCCUCUUCUGCUGGAUUACUUCAGAUCUUUUGAAUUUCCAUUGUUGGUUCCUAUUUUCUACUGAAUUACUUUCGAUAUUACACUAUGGGGUUAUCUUUUUGUUGGCUUUCUCUCCCUUUAACUACCUGAUUCCUUUUGGUUGCCUCAAUUUUUGUGCUAUUUAUUCCUUCAGUGUCCUCUAAUUUUUCAAAUGCAUUGUUGUUGAGAUUAGCUUGCAACUUAACUGCUUUUUCAUAGUUGAGAAAAUGCGUAUAUUACUAUGCAGUGAUCAAACCUUCUGUGGGUAGGCUUGGAUAUAAAAGGUAAACUCUGAUUUAAAAAUGACAACUCUACAGCUGAUAUGAAAAAUUUAGAUGAAGUUCUAUUUGCAGAGAGACAAUGUCUUAGGUAUGCUGAUGAUGCUCAAAUAAGUGAAGACAAAAAAUAAAGAAUCAAACAAGUGAAGUGAAGACAAAUAAUAAAGAAUCAAAUUCCGUAUAUGUUGACUUGUGGCUUAUUUUUGGAUAGUGAGCCAAGUUGGUACGGACGAAACCAGGAUUCAAUCACGAGGGAUGC